GUUAAACACACAUUAGACAGUGACAUUUGACACAAGGGGAAGCAUUUAAGCGGCGCUGCUUGAUUGCAGCAAGCGCUGGUGUUGCGGGAAUGUGUACACAUUAAAGACCGUCUCCCUCCCACAAGAAGGUGUCAAUAAACUAAACGUGCUUGUGCAGGAAUUUUCGGAGCUGAGGAGCCAGCAGCAAUAUUAACAACUUAAGAAGCCAACGCACGCACAAGCAUGCCACAGGACGACAAGAGGCAGG